rnacentral:rRNA from 1 species
UACGAAGGGGGCUAGCGUUGUUCGGAAUUACUGGGCGUAAAGCGCGCGCAGGCGGUCCUUCAAGUCAGAGGUGAAAGCCCAGAGCCCAACUCUGGAACGGCCUUUGAAACUAGAGGACUUGGGUACGGGAGAGGUGAGUGGAAUUCCGAGUGUAGAGGUGAAAUUCGUAGAUAUUCGGAAGAACACCAGUGGCGAAGGCGGCUCACUGGCCCGUUACCGACGCUCAGGCGCGACAGCGUGGGGAGCAAACAGG